rnacentral:rRNA from 1 species
UACGUAGGUGGCAAGCGUUGUCCGGAUUUAUUGGGUUUAAAGGGUGCGUAGGCGGCCCCGUAAGUCAGUGCUGAAAUAUCCCGGCUUAACCGGGAGGGUGGCAUUGAUACUGCAGGGCUUGAGUAAAGUUGAGGUAGGCGGAAUUGACGGUGUAGCGGUGAAAUGCUUAGAUAUCGUCAAGAACACCGAUAGUGUAGACAGCUUACUAAGCUUUAACUGACGCUGAGGCACGAAAGUGUGGGGAUCAAACAGG